AAGUCGUAACAAGGUUUCCGUAGGUGAACCUGCGGAAGGAUCAUUAUUGAAUAACCUUGAUAGGUUGUAGCUGGCCUCUCGAGGCAUGUGCACGCCUGUCUUGACUUUAUUCAUUCACCUGUGCACCUAUUGUAGUCUUUUCACACCUUGAAAAAGGGUUCAGGAAAGUAAUGGAUUUUUGUUCAGUUGAAACACACUGGAUUUGAGAAUUGCCUUUGGCUUUUCUCUCUUUACUGUCCUUAUGAAACUGUACCUUAGGGAGAAAAGGGCUAUGUCUUAUCAUAAACCAUGUUGUAUGUUACCAGAAUGUAUUCAAUGGGUCUGAGUACCUAUAAAACCUUAUACAACUUUCAGCAACGGAUCUCUUGGCUCUC
rnacentral:misc_RNA from 1 species